rnacentral:lncRNA from 1 species
UGAAUGUUGUGGUAUUGGGUGCAAUUUAUUUUGAAAAAGACGUCAAUCUUCAGAGACCAAUCGAAUCUUUUCUUACAAAAUUUAUGAACAAGUAUAGUUAAUUCUCUAUAAGGCAACCUUAUGAUGCAAACUAUGAAAAGAAUAGAGAGAAAAGACAAAAAGAAAUGUGCAAUUUAACUACAUUCAGUAUGAUAUUCCCCUUAUUAAUAAGCGACAGUUUGAGGAGCUUGGGUCGUCCGGGGGUAUUUUGGAAAAACAAAUAAGCGACAGUUUGAGGAGCUUGGGGUCGUCCGGGGAUAUUUUGGAAAAACUGCGAAUACUUUGGUAAAAUUCAGGUGUUAAUCCUACUUUAGUUUUGACACGUUACUUUACACCGCCCAAACAAUCAUAUCUACACUCUGUUUCCUCCCAAUUUCUCUACACUUUAUUUCUUCUUCAAAAUUUCCAUCACUGCUUAUCUGCUCUUCCAAUUUUCCUUGUUUCUUUUAGUCUUCUCUCUUCUUGGACAGUUAAUUCGCCUUGAUUGUACAGUUAUAAGGUGAGUUUUAGUUUCUUGUUUUCUUGAUUUUUGAAAUAGCUGUUGCAUAUAAAUUGUUUAAGCUGAUUAAAUUAUUCGUCCAUCAUUCUUUGUCAUUCGUCCAGAAAAAACUGGGAUAUUUGGAGUUGUUUCCCAUUUCAGUUGGGUCGAAUUCAAUUCCCACAAUUACUCACUUAACCCCUUUGAGUAUAUUUGCUGAUGUUGUUCUUGAAGCGUUUGGCGGGUUCAGUGAUCUUGAUGUAUCUGUUUAUGCUUUUAAAGAUGUUGGAAUGAUUUUACCUUUUGGAACCAGAGAUGAAAGACAAGGACAAAUUUGAGAAAAUUUUGGGUUUGUCCAUGGCUUUCAUUUCUUCGAUGUAUGGUAAAGAGCACAUAUCUGUAUUUAGUAUAUGGUUCAUAAAAUAGUAUUACUGUAUUAGAGGUAAAUAAGUUUAGUUGAUUGUCACUAUUUAUGCAUUCCUUGUUCUUUAUUUGCAUUUUUAUUGUAAAAAUAAACUAUUAACCACUAAUCGAUCUUGCAUAUUAUGUUACUGUGUUUGAUGUAGCCAAUCCUAAAAUCUGUGUAUUUACCGUUAUUGUAUGAGCUCUCUGAUGCAUUGUGGUGGCUAUAAAGAAUAGAGUACCUAAUGAUAUUUUAUUUAAACAAAGGAGAACUUUGAUGUAGCGAAAGCGCUUGACAAUAUGCUUAACUGGUGACAAUAUAUUUUAUGUAUUAUAUAUCUUUAUAAAGGAUGUGUCAUGUCUUCAACUGUUAUAUGCAUAGUUCUUAUAGUUGUCUGUAGAAGUAUUCUGGGGUUUUGUGGAAAAUGGAUUUGUCCCAUUUCUGAUGUGAUUUUGUGGAUAUAUAUAAAAUUUUGUUGUCACUGAUCAAUAGAUCAUGCUUCUUAUUAUUAAAAAUAAAUAAAAGUAGAUUGAGGUGAAACAUUAAAAAGUAGUGGAAAAACAAAGUGAAGAAUCAGUUCUUGAAUUUGGCUCAGUAGUAAUGGGGGUCUCUAUUCCUAUAUUUGUAAUAGUGAUUGCCUUUCAUCUCAUCGCCUUUGUUCUUGCCGUCGGUGCUGAACAACGUCGUAGCACGAUACCCUCUAUAGCUUAUAUUCUGUUUUCAUUGAUCUUUCUUUUUUCGCUUUUGUUUCUGAACAUAGGUAAAGAUGGAACUUUGUGCUUGUGUGUGUGUUUUUCUGGGUAGAGUUAAAACCUUAAAGUCUGAACUUUUUUGUUUUAUUUGCUUCAUAGUCUAGCUAUUGAUUAAUUUUUUGGUGUUUUUUCCCUGGGUGUAGUUAAAUAUUUAAUUUAUUUUUUCAGUUCUGGUUGUACUUAGAUUGAACUUUUUGGUAUUAUUUGCUUUAUAGUCUAGUUAUUGAUUAAUUUUUUGGUAUUUUUCCCUGGGUAUAGUUAAAGAUUUGAUUUAUUUUUUCAUUUCUGAUUGUAGUUAAAGAUUGAACUUGUUAGUUUUAUUUGCUUCAUAGUCUACUGCUUUGUUGCACCAAAGGCAAAGCUGGUUGUUAUGCUUUCGCCUUAUUUGACUCUUAUUUACAUUUCUCUUCAUCGUUUUGGAAAUUAUGCAGGGUACAAUAUGUAUGAAGCUUAUUGUUCGUAUUAAGUAUAUCUAAAUAGCGGAUGAUCAAUUGAUGACAAGCUGAGUUAGGUUUUUUGGUCAACCGUCAACAAUCUUUGGCUUAUGUUGUGCCAAUAGAAUGGCUGACUCUUAUGGUUUUGCCUUAUUUGGGCUCUUACUUAGAUUUUUUUUUUACCGUUAUGAAAAAUCUGUGGAUGCUUUAUUUCUCUCCAUUUUCUUUUGUAUAAUAUUUUUAUAAAAUUCUUAUUGAAAAAAGGUGCAGCCUUGAAAUUACAUGACUUUACUCUUUAUGUUUUGCUUUCAUGUAUUUAUAGUAUACUAAGUGUUAUCUGUUGUUCCUUUUUAAAUAUUUGAAGAAAAUAAUGUACGCCAAUGUUCAUGUAUGGUCUUUUAUCUUUGUUUCAAACUAAUAAAAAGUUGCAAAAGUGAUUGGCUGACACUUAUAAAACUUAAAUUUCUUCGUGAAUGGAUCGUCAACAAAAAAGAAAACAACCUUGCAUAACAACAGAAAA